CUUACAUAUCUUAGGAGACUUCUGUUCAAUUGUACCUAAACAAAUACACUCACAUUCAAAGUUUCUAAAAGGACAGGUGUCGCAAUUAAUACGGAACUUGAAGAUAAUUAAAAGUAGAAAAAUUGACUUACUGCCUUUCCUUUUCGAAAGAAUGAAUUGAUCGAGAUCUGGAGAGGAUUCCCUUUUUGGAGAAGACAAAUUGCAAUCUAUGUCAUGAAUCAAACUGUCUACGACAUAGUUAGCGCGUUAUAAAUCACGCGCUGCAUAUUACAGGUUAUUGCAAACAAAUAUUAAGACUAAACUAAUCAUAUGAAAAGAAAUUAAAUUAAAAACAAUAUUUUUAAUCAUACCAGUAGAUGGAAGUUGUUCGUUUUGUGGAUUAGUUUUCUCAUUGUUUAUUCCUUUAUCAGAAGACAUUCUCGCAAACAACUACAUUCAAUAAAAACGACAGAGAGCAAUUAAAAUUAUUUGUAUUACAAGACGAAUAGCACUAAUGUUAUUUGAAAAAAAAAACAAUCAUUAAAAAAACACACAAAAAAAGACUAGACUGGAAUGAUCAAACUAGAAUACAAGAAAAAUUUAUUCAACAACCGCACUGUGUUACUAGAAGACAUUAUCAGAACUACAGACGACCUUAUCAGAACAUCUUGUCAGACAAAACAAUUAUUUUAGCAGAACAAAACAGUACAUUAACAAAAACAAAUUGAAAAAAAAAAUCUACCGAAUAUAAACAUGGUUCUUGCAUAGCCCACGAAAUCAAGAUAUAAGAUGAAAAAUAGAGAAUCAAGAUAAAAGAGAUCAAUAAAGACUAGUAACAGAUUUUGAAGGAAAAAUUUAAAACUAAUUUGAACAUUUCCUCUUUAAAACUAAAUCAAAAAAUUACAAACAAGCAAAAAAAAUAAAACAAGAAUAAAACAGAACAAAUCGAAGAGAAUGAACAUAUAGAACAAAACAAGAAAAAAUAAAAUGCCCAAAAACAGAGAUAUCAAAAGAUUCAGUCGACAGUACCUAAACAGAACCAAGAAAAAAUAACUAACAGCAUCCGAAAACUCUUAUCAAAGAAGAAACCAUAUUUAUAGAAUAACUGGCCAGAUAUUGUAGAAAAACGAGUUAAUAAUAUCGAAACGUUUAUCUUAGAAACGUCUUUGGGGGAAGAAAAUGGGUAGAAAAAAUUAUGACAAGAAAAGGAUAGGAUUAGGGAGAGGAAUAAAAAAUCAUACAAUUAAAACCCUAACCUAACACGGAGAAUACAUAGUAGGAAUAAUAAGCAUGAGAUGAAACGGGAAGGACGACGGACAAAUGAACUGAAAAAAUUGUACGCCGAUAGAGGGGAAAAAACAGUACCUUUUUCGACGAUGCAGUGAAGAUUUUUCGUCGGCCGACGGCUAGCGGACACGGAGAAAAAGACGUCUACCUCUACUUCAAAGGGACGAACGCAAGGAGGAUGACCAGAUCACGUCGCCGGAACAGAGGAUCGGAGUAUCGCCGUGGUCGGAGGGUUUUUGGUGGGUUUUGGAGGGAGAGCGGAAGUGGAAGAAAUCUUUUUUUGAAUAAUAAAUAAAUUUUUU
rnacentral:lncRNA from 1 species